UACGUAGGGAGCAAGCGUUGUCCGGAAUCAUUGGGCGUAAAGCGCGCGUAGGUGGUCUCAUAAGUCCGCUGUGAAAGUCCAAGGCUCAACCUUGGAAAGCCGGUGGAUACUGUGAGGCUAGAGUACGGAAGAGGCGAGUGGAAUUCCUGGUGUAGCGGUGGAAUGCGCAGAUAUCAGGAGGAACACCAAUAGCGAAGGCAGCUCGCUGGGACGUUACUGACACUGAGGCGCGAAAGCGUGGGGAGCGAACAGG
rnacentral:rRNA from 1 species